AUGGAGAAGGCCCUCACCAAGCUCGGCAGCUUCACCAUCCCCCGCAAGGCCAAGCAGGAGCUCUCUGCCAUCGGCGGCGACAUCUCGCGCAUCUCAAGCACCGUGGAGGAGAAGGCCAAAUGGGUGUUCGAGAAACUCAAAGGCAAACCAAACAAGUCCCUCUCUGACCUGCUGCGCGAGUACAACCUCCCUCCGGGCCUCUUCCCUCGGAACAUCAUCUGCUACGAGUACGACCAGACGAGCUCGAGGCUCGUGGUGCACCUGGCCAAGCCCUGCGAGGUGAGCUUCAAGGACUCCUCCAUGAUACGGUACGCCACCCGCGUGAAGGCGACCCUGUCCCGAGGCAAGCUCUCGGCGAUCGAGGGCAUGAAGACCAAGGUGGUGGUGUGGGUGAAGGUGACCACCGUGAACCUGGAGAGCUUCCGGUCCGACAAGGUGUGCUUCAUCGCCGGCGUGAAGAAGCUGAGGCAGAAGGACGCCUACGAGGUGCCCCGCGAAGCCGCCUCCGUCGAGGAGUUCUGA
rnacentral:rRNA from 1 species